rnacentral:rRNA from 1 species
CGACGAGUGGCGGACGGGUGAGUAAUACAUAGGAAUCUGCCUUAUAGUGGGGGACAACCUGGGGAAACCCAGGCUAAUACCGCAUACGCCCUUCGGGGGAAAGGCUUCGGCCGCUAUUAGAUGAGCCUAUGUCUGAUUAGCUUGUUGGUGGGGUAAUGGCCUACCAAGGCGACGAUCAGUAGCUGGUCUGAGAGGACGAUCAGCCACACUGGGACUGAGACACGGCCCAG